CCAGACUCCUACGGGAGGCAGCAGUGGGGGAUAUUGCACAAUGGGGGAAACCCUGAUGCAGCGACGCCGCGUGGGCGAAGAAGUAUUUCGGUAUGUAAAGCCCUAUCAGCAGGGAAGAAGAAAUGACGGUACCUGAAGAAGAAGCCCCGGCUAACUACGUGCCAGCAGCCGCGGUAAUACGUAGGGGGCAAGCGUUAUCCGGAUUUACUGGGUGUAAAGGGGGCGCAGACGGCGAUGCAAGCCAGGAGUGAAAGCCCGGGGCCCAACCCCGGGACUGCUCGUGGAACUGCGUGGCUGGAGUGCAGGAGGGGCAGGCGGAAUUCCUGGUGUAGCGGUGAAAUGCGUAGAUAUCAGGAGGAACACCGGCGGCGAAGGCGGCCUGCUGGACCGCGACUGACGUUGAGGCUCGACAGCGUGGGGAGCGAACAGGAUUAGCUCCCCCCGUA
rnacentral:rRNA from 1 species